rnacentral:rRNA from 1 species
AUUGAACGCUGGCGGCAUGCUUUACACAUGCAAGUCGAACGGCAGCGCGGGCUUCGGCCUGGCGGCGAGUGGCGAACGGGUGAGUAAUGCAUCGGAACGUGCCCAGCAGUGGGGGAUAGCCCGGCGAAAGCCGGAUUAAUACCGCAUACGACCUGAGGGUGAAAGCGGGGGACCGAAAGGCCUCGCGCUAUUGGAGCGGUCGAUGUCGGAUUAGCUAGUUGGUGGGGUAAAGGCUUACCAAGGCGACGAUCCGUAGCUGGUCUGAGAGGACGACCAGCCACACUGGAACUGAGACACGGCCCAGACUCCUACGGGAGGCAGCAGUGGGGAAUUUUGGACAAUGGGGGCAACCCUGAUCCAGCCUUGCCGCGUGCGGGAAGAAGGCCUUCGGGUUGUAAACCGCUUUUGUUCGGGAAGAAAUCCUCUGGGCUAAUACCCCGGGGGGAUGACGGUACCGGAAGAAUAAGCACCGGCUAACUACGUG